AGUGAACGCUGGCGGUAGGCCUAACACAUGCAAGUCGAACGGCAGCACAGUAAGAGCUUGCUCUUACGGGUGGCGAGUGGCGGACGGGUGAGGAAUACAUCGGAAUCUACUUUUUCGUGGGGAUAACGUAGGGAAACUUACGCUAAUACCGCAUACGACCUACGGGUGAAAGCAGGGGAUCUUCGGACCUUGCGCGAUUGAAUGAGCCGAUGUCGGAUUAGCUAGUUGGCGGGGUAAAGGCCCACCAAGGCGACGAUCCGUAGCUGAUCUGAGAGGAUGAUCAGCCACACUGGAACUGAGACACGGUCCAGACUCCUACGGGAGGCAGCAGUGGGGAAUAUUGGACAAUGGGCGCAAGCCUGAUCCAGCCAUACCGCGUGGGUGAAGAAGGCCUUCGGGUUGUAAAGCCCUUUUGUUGGGAAAGAAAAGCAGCAGGUUAAUACCCCGCUGUUCUGACGGUACCCAAAGAAUAAGCACCGGCUAACUUCGUG
rnacentral:rRNA from 1 species